GCUGACCUGUCCUUGUCCCACCAGUCGGGCGGUGAAUUGGACUGACUGGUGACCCCUGGCACCAGGCUUCCCCAUGGGCACCGGAGCAGGCGGACAGGGGUGGGGUCCCGCGAGCGACACGGAAGGAUUCCUAGGUCAAAACAAAGCAUAAACAAUCAACGCCAACAGAAAAAUCUUCCGAAGAACAAUUACAAGAAGUAACUCAGGAAAUUUUCCCAAGAGGCAAUCCAGAAGAGUUUGAGUUUCGAUCAGCUUGUAGGACUGAGACAGGAGCAGAACAUUGCUGGAAGAAAUUCACAAUACAGACCAGGAUGAAGUUAUUUCCCCAAAAGAGAGGUUCGAGGCAAGUGGUCAGCUCCCCGUUGAAAAUCAUUGUAGCAGACAAAUACCGGGAAUGUAAUAAAUUGGAGAAAAGUUUGUCUC
ensembl:lncRNA novel transcript